GAUUUGAAAUGGUCUUUUCGUAAGAGAAGAAUCAUAGCAUUUUAGAAUUCAAAAGAACCUUGAAGAUUAUCUUGUGAAAUAGAUGACUUGUCUUAUAGAUUAUCUUUCAUUUUAUAAUUGAGGAAAUUGAAACCCAGAGAAGUGAGAUAAUUUGCCCAAGGUCACUUGAAGGACUCACGUGUGCCUCUCAUUUUCUUUGUAAGCAUUAGGUGGACCCCACUGGGCCUCAUAACUAAGUGCACAGCUUUUUGUUUGUUCAGGCACUGUUCAAUGAAACAGCUUCUAUAUUGGAUGGCUUGAUGUUUGUUUAUGCUUUAAUGAGACUGAGUUUCGACAGGAUAGACCGAAACUUCUGAAGGACAGAUCCCCAGACCGUUGCUCAUGUAUCCAGUCAUUUGAUCCUCCUAAUUAGCACCAACAUUAGUCUUGACUACAAUAAUGACCAUGGGAAUCCAUGAGAAAUUUCUAAAGAUUCUGUUAGACCUUGGUGAGCAUGAGAAUUGAAUUGGAAAUGACUUUAGCUUUUAGCAGAACUGCUCUCUGGUCUUCUGCAUUUACUGUCAGUCAGGUCUCACCUUCUGCCUCUGCUUACAAAUUGGUCUGGCUAAAAGGAGACCCCCUAAGUAUCCUGACCCUAAGCGUCUCCACUACCAUUCUACUGUAGCUUGGCUAAAACUUGAACUCUUCAUCAUCCUUUUGCUCACCAAACCAUCUUCUCCUUCCUCCCCAGUUACCUCUUUUUUUUUUCUUUUUGUAAAGUAGGCUUCACGCCCAGCCCAGAGCCCAAACAACCUUGAGAUCAAGACCUGAACUGAGAUCAGGGGUCAGAUGCUUAACCCACUGAGCCGCCCAGGUGUCCCCCCAAUUACCUCAUUUUGGUUUUUUUGACCAGUACCUGAGAAAAGCACAAUAGUUCAAAGAUAGAGCUUUUCAUGAAACUCCAAUUAGGAAACAAGAACUAGCAAAACAGCAUAGGAAUCAGAACAGGAUAGUGUUGAUGGGAAUGUUGAGGAAGUGGUGAUUCUAUUGAAGUUAAAAGAGGAACCCAUAGAAGGGGUGCCUGGCUGGCUCAGUCAGAGCAUGCGACUCUUGAUCUCAGGGGUCAUGAGCUCAAGCCCCACGUUGGGGAUAGCGAUUACUUAAAAAUAAAGAAACUUCCAGGGUGCCUGGGUGGCUCAGUCGGUUGGGCCUCCGACUUCAGCUCAGGUCAUGAUCUCACAGUUCAUGAGUUCAAGCCCCACAUCAGGCUCUGUUGACAGUGAGGAGCCUGAAGCCUGCUUCCAGUUCUGUAUCUCCCUCUGUCUGCCCCUCCCGUGCUCAUGCUCUGUCUCUGUCUCUCUCUCCCAAAAGUAAAUAAACAUUAAAAAAAUUUUUUUUAAAUAAACUUAAAGUAAAUAGUAUUAUGAGUAAUUGUGAGCUAACAUUUAAAAAUCUAGAUGGAAUGGUUAAAUUACUAGAGAAAUAUUUUUUAAAUGCCAAAAGUUAGUGCCUGGUUGGCUUGGUAGAGCAUGUGACUCUUGAUCUCAGGGUUGUAGGUUCGAGCCCCGUGUUGGGUAUAGAGAUCCCUUAAAAAAAAAAAAAAGAGGGGCGCCUGGGUGGCGCAGUCGGUUAAGCGUCCGACUUCAGCCAGGUCACGAUCUCGCGGUCCGUGAGUUCGAGCCCCGCGUCAGGCUCUGGGCUGAUGGCUCGGAGCCUGGAGCCUGUUUCCGAUUCUGUGUCUCCCUCUCUCUCUGCCCCUCCCCCGUUCAUGCUCUGUCUCUCUCUGUCCCAAAAAUAAAUAAAAACGUUGAAAAAAAAAAAAAUUAAAAAAUUAAAAAAAAAAAAAAAAAAAAGAAAAAAAAAAGGAACCCACAGAACUUGGAGAAAUUGAAUAGAAGGAAUUAAAAUUUUCUAACCAGGAAUAGAAAGUUCCGUAUCCAAUGUAAACUUGACUGUGGCCAUAAUUCUGAAAUAAAGCCAUUGUCCUAUUUUAAUAUUAAAGAGGUCAAGGAAACACAGUGGCUUUUUUUAGUUUUCUAGUACUAUAUAACAAAUUAUCUCAAACUCAGCACCUUAAAAAAGCAAUAGUUUCUGAGGAUCUGGUAUUCCAAGGCAGCUGAGCUAGUGGUUCUGAGUCUCAUAAGGUUGCAAUCCAGAUGUCAGCCAGGUUUGCAGUCAUCUGAAGGAAGACCAGUCUCCAAGAUGGCUGACUCAUAUGGCUGGUAAGUUGGUAUUGGCAGCUGAAGAACCAGACACAAGAAAAGCUCUCUGUCCUCCUAUUUACCUAAAAGCAGGGCAUAAAUUUGCAUAGGUGUCCUUCCUCCCCUGUCUACCAGGAAGGACAAAGGUUAUUCUCAGGAGACAACGUUAGCCUCUUAUCAGCAGAGAAAGCCCUGAUUAAAUCUACCUAACAAGCCUUACCCUGUUUGCUUGCUUUUCCUGGUAACCUUCCGUCACUAGCCUCUUCCCCUCACACACACCUGUCUUCUUUGUCUUCAGCUGAAGAUGAUAUUUAAGCUGAGUUCUUUUCAUUUAAAAAAAAUUUUUUUUUAGACUGAGUUCUAAGCUACCUUUCUGAGUUGGCUUUUCCCUGGGUAUCUCCGCUGUUACACAUGUUAGUAAACUGUUUUCUUGUGAAUAUGUAAUUACAGAAGUGGCAGCCAGGAACUCAGAAGGGUGGAAGGAAAAUUAUUUUACCUCUUUUCACAGGUCAACCCUUUCCACUGUUGGUGGGGACUGCGCAAGGGCAUGAGAAAUGUGGAGGCCCAUCUUGAAGUUUGGCUACCACCGUAGCCAAGGAACAAGUUCAGAUGUUCUCAGAGGCCAGGCCAUCACAUAAACAAAUACCAACUGUGACAGGAAGAUGUAGGGAGUAGUGGGGAUUCCUCACUGAAUACUCAUUAUCUACAGGAACUUAUGAAUGCUGGUCAAUUGAUUCUUUAUCAUACAGUUUUUCAAGACAUCUGAAAGUUGUUUUCAUUAAAGUAAACUUAAGUUUUUUACAGUGUUGGCAAGCUAACUCAGUUACUGAAGAAGGCACUUAAAAAGGUCAUCCCUGGGAGAAGUAAGUGAACCUCCCUGCGGACUGCAUAUAGUUUGGCAGCUGCCAGUUUGUGACUUCUGAUCUACUUAUUUUAUUUUAGAGACGAGGAAAGUGAGGCCCAGGAAAGCUAAAAUGACCAAAGGUCAUGUAACUAACUUGUGAAUGACAGAACUAGAAUUAGUGUCCAGCUCUCUAGCAUCUCCAUUAAAACAUGACUAAGUUUUAAAAGAACUAAAAGAAACUCGAUGCGUAAAUAACCAGUGCCUUGUAAAUGGUUAACUCAUUGGUUCUCAACCCUCCUGAAUGGAAUCACCUGAUGCAUUUUUUUAAAUUACAAAUUCCUGGGCACCACCCAUCAUCAUUCAGUUUCAGUUAGACCAGACUAGGACUUAGGCAUCAGUUUUUUUUAAACUUCCAGCAGCCAAUAUUGAAACCAGAAGGUUAACUGUGGUGAGAGACAGAUUUACUUGUCAUAUGGCGACAGCCCCUAACUGACUUAAGAUAUAAAGAAGGAACCCUUAAAGGAAUGUCAAGGAAGUCCUAGGUAGCUGACAGAAUAUGCUUCAUAAAAGCCAAUCAAGUCAUAUAGGCUGGAUAAAGUUCACAAGCAAUUUCUGCUUAUUAGUAGUGAUUAUCAUGCCCAAGUUUAGAUUUACACAACAGUAUCGCAGGUGAUUUUGCAGACAUUUAGAUCAGUAUCGAAAUAUGUUGACACCACAGCCACAUAUACCGGUGUUCCUAUAUCCCAACCCUUAUAAGUUCUGUGAACACUAUAUACACCUUUAGUUCACUCUAUAUGAGAAAUUUACAAAAAUAAUGACAUAUUUAAAGAGGAAGUGAGAAGUAUUUACUGCUGUUGAUGGUUCUUCAUUAAAUUACAUGCUGGUUUAUAUGAGGGUUUUUUUUGCUUUUUUCUUUUUUUGUAAUUACAGUUUAAGAGUGGAGUUUGGUUGUUGUUUCCUGCUUAACAUUUAUAAGUUGAACAUUAACCUGACAGUCCUAGAUAAAGGUUUCAAGCCUUACCUAUGAUGUCAAACCAAGACCAUGACUGACAGGAAAUAUUGUCACUUGUUUAAACCUACAUUGCAGUUCCCAUUUCACUGUGCAAUUCUGUCCUGUACAUUGGUUUCUCCAGUAUCGUCUGAAUUUAUUGGAAAACUCAAGGAUUUGAAUUCAGAGGAAAGUCACUGCUCAGAAAUCAGUGUUAGUGGUCAUACUGAAAGUUUUUUAUAUUUUGUGGUAAGUUCAAGGGGCACCUGGGUGUCUCAGUCACUUAAGCAUCUGACUCUUGGUAUCUGCCCAGCUGGUGAUCUCACUAUGGUGAAAUCAGGUUCUGUGUCAGGCAGAGCAUGGAGCCUGCUUGGGGUUCUCUCUCUCCCUCUCUCAAAUAAAUAAAUAAACUUAAAAAAAAAUUGUGGUAAAUUAAAAAUAUCUAAAAGAAUAUUUAGUACAAAGUGAAAAAUAGAAAGUUAGAAAUAGCCUUCAAUAAAUGGGGCUUGGCUCCCAGGUCUGCCACUAGGUGACCUUGGGAAAGUUAUUUAAUUGCUUUGAUCUUCAGUUUCUACAUUUGUGAAGCAGGCGUGUUAAGUUUAAUGCACAUAAUGUGCCUAGCAUAUGAGUCACUCGAUAAAUGGAAUGGAGCCAUAAGUUGAGUAGACCUUUAAUUUUCUCCUUGGUCUUAAAGCAUUUGGGGCUGGAAAAGUAGCAAGAACAAAAAUAUAUGAGGUAACAAACUGUGUGGUGCCAUGGACACAUACAAGCAGUUUGGUGUUACUGAAGGAAAAGUACAAAGCAGAGAAUGGCUAGAGAUAAGGCUGGAGAGGUCAUUCUAGAGUAUGCAAAGGAGGACCUUGUGUACCAUGCUUAAGAACUUGUAUUCUAUACUGUAUGCAGAGGACAGCCAAAGAUUUUUAAGGGAAAGAUAAGGUCAUAUUCAUAUUCAUGUGUUAGACACCACUGGCUGGAAUUUAAAGGGCAGUUUAGAGGGAUGAAGAAGCAAGAAGAUAGGUUAGUUGGCUAUAGAAAUAUAUAUAUUUUUAAGUUUAUUUAUUUGACAGAGGCAGAGACAGCAUGAGUUGGGGAGGGGCAGAGAGAGAAUCCCAAGAAAGCUCCGCACUACCAGCAGAGCCCGACAUGGGGCUAGAACUCACACAACCAAUAUCAUGACCUGAGCUGAAACCAAGAGUCGGACGCUUAACUGACUAAGCCACCCAGGCACCCCGACAUAGAAAUAUUCUACACAGAGAUAAUGAAGGCCCAGUUUAGGGUGGUGGGAGAGGAAAGAGGAAGAUGAGCAAAUCUGAGAAAUAAUUUAAGAGGUAGGGCUUGAUUCAUCAGGAAGAGGGAUGAGUUGGGGAUGACUCCUAAGUUUUUGGCUUGGUGAGUAGGUAAAUGACAGAAAACUAAGACAAUUUAGAAGUGGGAAGAUAAUGAAUUCACUUUUCAACACAUUGAUUAUGAGUGUCUGUGGGAUGUCCAGAUGAGUGCCUUUCAUAAGCAGUUGGACAUUGGAGUCUGUAGCCAAGGGAAAGGUCAGGCCUGAUGAUACAGAUUUGGGAGCCAUUGAAUGUUGUCAGACCAGUGAGAGUUGAUGAGAUCAUCCAAGGAAAGCAGAAUGGAAAGAAUUUUAAUAAGCCAUGGACUGCUAGAAUAUUGGGAAACAUGAAUACCUAGGUGAGUGGAGAAGAUAAGAGCCUAACAAGAAAAUGGAAGAGGACCAAUCAUAGAAAUAGAACUGAGAGAAGAGUAAGUUGGUAUCACCAAGUCAACCAAGUAUUUAACGUAAACGAACCUCUCCAGUAUAACAUUUAGGAGUUUCCCUCCUGAGAGUGAUGAGGUUUUGGGGUGGGGUUUGUGAGGUCCGGAGCCAAUGGACAAGAAAAAAUUCUUGAAGUCUUUGGUGCAAAAAGGUGAUUUUAUUAAGGCAUGGGGACAGGGCCUGUGCAUUGUAAGUGUGGGGGGUUAUGGGUUUAUGGAGUUGGGGUAGAGGGAGUUGCAAAGAGACUUUCACAUACUAAAGACUUACUGGAGGCCUAGCUAUUAUUUAAUGUCAACCUAAGGUUGUUUUUCCCUCUAGCAAAGCAUUAACAUUAAGUCACAGGGAGUUCCUGGACUUCAGGCUAUGAUGGGAUUGCCUUUUUCUGGUAAACUGGUGUGGACUCUUAUCAGUUUAACCAUUUGGGUGUUUUUUGUUUGUUUAUUUUUGGGUUUUUUGUCCUUUCCUGGUUUUGGGUAGCCUGGAGUGUCCAAGGAGUAUCAUACAUGUCCCACCUGGGUGGGGGGUGGGGGGAGCUGUUGGCCUGCACUUUGCCCUCAGCUUGCCCCAUGUUACUUCAUCAGGAGUGGAAGGUAUACAAGGUUGGGAACCUUGCAUUCUCUUUCCAUUUUGGACAGUUCAUUUCUACUGUUACUGUUCACCAAGGCCAAGAGGGAUUUGGCAGUUUGAAAGCAGUUGCAGUAGAGGGGAGAAAAGCCAGAUUGUGGUGGGUUGAGAGUGAGUGGGAAGUGAGAAAGUAGAGAAAGCCAAGAUACUUAUCUCAGAAGAAAAGGAGAAAGAGGAUGGUAGUUUCUUUUGGGGGUAGAUUUCUUUUGAGAUUGAUUGUUUUGCUACAACUUGGCUUCACUCUUCAGCUGAUAUUCUAUUAUCAGCUCAUAUUUUAUGUGCGUGUGUAGUGUCUAUAGGUACCUUAUAUGUGUAUAAAUGUGUACUAUUUAAAAUGUGUACUAUUUUAACAUGGAGUAACGAAAAAUUUUUUUAUUUUUAAUGUUUAUUUUUGAGAGAGAGGCAGAGAGAGAGGGAGACACAGAAUCUGAAGCAGGCUCCAGGCUCUGAGCUGUCAUGUCAGCACAGAGCGUGAUGUGGGGCUUGAACCCACGAACCGUGAGAUAAUGACCCGAGCCAAAGUCGGAUGCUUAAUUGACUGAACCACCCAGGCGCCCCAGGAAGAAAAAAAAAAAAAAAAAAACACUUUUAAAAGAAAUUGUGGUGUUAUAUUGAGCCUAUUAUCUGCUCUAUAACAUAUUUUGAUUAGGGUCAUUUAGUGAAUUGCUCUUGUCUUUCGCUUUCCUUCCCUGUUUCCUUCACUCUAGGGGUCAGACUUGGCUCACCAUCUAAGGGCUUUUCCAGCCUUGUUGGUUACUUCCCCAUUCUCUCUCACAGGCAUUUCCCCUAAUAAAAAAAUUUUGCGUGUUUAAUCUCAUCUUGGCAGCAGCUUCCUGAACUCCAAAUAAGCUUCAGAAAUGUUUAAAUAUUUUGGGUAGCUGUAAGGUUAGCAUGACACAACCAAUUUUUUUUUAAAUAAAAAUUUACUCUUUGGGAGUUUUUUCUCAGUGACUAUUACAAACAUAAUUUGUGGAUACUGAGAGAACUAAUUCUUGCCUUCCUAUUUACUGUCUUAUGUACAUAUUAUGACUUGAAGAAAUAGAAUCUUGGGAUUUUUAGCAUGAAAAAAUUUUGAUCCAACAGUUUUGGAAUGGGAAGAAGAAUUAAAGCAUAGUCAAGUGCCUUGCUGGUGGACCACAUUCUGUCUCUAACCUUCAAUAUAACUAAGCUGAAAUAAGCUAAGUUAUAGGACAGAAGAGAAAAUUAACAUUUAUUCAGGACAAGUAUGUGGGGUAGGGAAGGAGUUGGAAUGUUAGAAUGAGAAACUCUAAGGCUGAUGUACUUCAACCUGCACCACUAAGCCAAGCUUUAGAAUACCCAGUGGUGUAUUUUUUUGAAUUGAAAAAAGAAAAGUAAACAAUGUAGAUUAAAAGUCCAAGACUCGAGCAUGCAACUCUUGAUCUCAGGGUUGUGAAUUCAAGCCCCACAUUGAGUGUAGAG